AUACUUUUAUCGAUUUGAUCGUCCAAUCCUUAUAAAUUUAUAAGAAGCGUUUUUGAAUACGGAGAUUUAGCGGUCAAACGAUGUUUAUGUAGAGAAACUAUAAUCAUUUAUCGAAUUCAGUUGAUUUAAUGACAUUGGGUAGUGAAUGUCGUGUUUCGUUGUAAGUAACGUUAUUAAUUAUGUAGUUAUCAUUCCAAAAGAAUCGGAAACGCAGAUGUGAUUAAUAUUAAAAUUACAUAAAGAAGGGAUAUUAUAUAGGCAGAUUGCAGGAUUAGUAGAGAGAUGUCUAUAUUUAUAAUACAUUAUAUUAUUAAAAAAUCAAAAACUGAAGAAACAUUUACGAACAAACACCUUAGUUCAAAGAAACUGAGUCAUGGAGAAAAGUAAAUUAUAAUACGCGAAAUAAAAAAAGAUCCAAAUACUUUAACUACAAAUCUCACUUAAAUAAUUGCGUCAGAGUUUAAAAGGAUGUUCAUCCUGAAUUAUAUCGCAGGAUUUUACGCAAGAAUAAUUUUUAUAGUAGAAUUUUAAGAAAGAAACCAUUUAUUAAGAAGAGCAUGAAGCUAAGCAUUUGAAAUUUACAAAAGAAUAGAUAAAUGAAGAUAACGCUUUCUGGGAUUAUUGAUCUUUUCUGACGAAAGCAAAUUUAAUAUAUUUAGAUCAGAUGGUGCUGGUUUUGUUUGGAGAAAACAAUUUAGAAAUGAACGUGAAAAGUUUACGUUCGAUUGUAAAAUACGAUGGUGAUUUGCAAAAUAAUGAUCCCAAGCAUACGACUAAAAUUAUAAAAGAAUGAUUAUUAUAUAAUACACUGCAUGGAUUAAAUAUAUCUCCAAAGUGCGGAUAUUAACCUUAAAAUUUAUGGAUGGAAAUCAACAAAAGAUUAAAAAAUUAUGAAAUAAUUUCAGGGGAUGUAUUAAAACAAAAAAUUGUAGAAUUAUAGAAUUCUAUCGAAUCUAUAACUGAAAAGUUACUACACAACAAGCGAUAUUGUGUUAAAGUUAUAAUUGUAACCAAAGGAGGUCCAACUAAAUAUUAAAUAAAAGAAAAUACGUAUAA